CAACUCACUGAGUGCCUAUUGUUCAUCCACGCAGUUGUAGCAGAGCUGUUGGCUCCCCGCGGAUUCUUGACUCGAGUCAGUGGCCCAAACCCCUGUGUUAGCUGGGGAUCCAAGCAGAGUCAUCAUUCAGAACAUAACUGACAUCUCAAAAAUCCUCUUAUAUAUUUGAUAAGGAAAUAAAUUACGAUGCAAUAUACAGAUCCUUAUAAAAUGAACCAGCCUUAACUUGGGGCGCAGUUCCUAUGGAAAUCAAGCCACAUUAAGAAACGGCAAUCAAAACAGCACCCCACAUGGGCUCCUGGCCAACAUCAUCUUUUGCCAACAUCAAAAGUAUUCUUUGUUAUUUCCUUCUUGCAACCAUCCCAAGUUUGAGUACUUGGGAUUGACUGGAAUUGCAAAACCAUGUCUAUGCUUAUGGUUUUUAUUCAUCAGUAAGCAUCUU